rnacentral:rRNA from 1 species
GAUGAACGCUGGCGGCGUGCUUAACACAUGCAAGUCGAACGAUGAAGCCGGAGCUUGCCCCGGUGGAUUAGUGGCGAACGGGUGAGUAACACGUGAGCAAUCUGCCCUUGACUCUGGGAUAACUGCGGGAAACUGUAGCUAGUACCGGAUACGACACCUUGGGGCAUCCCAGGGUGUGGAAAGAAUUUCGGUCAAGGAUGAGCUCGCGGCCUAUCAGCUAGUUGGUGAGGUAAUGGCACACCAAGGCGACGACGGGUAGCCGGCCGGGGAGGGGGACCGGCCAACCUGGAACUGGGACACGGUCCAGACUCCUACGGGAGGGAGCAGUGGGGAAUAUUGCGCAAUGGGCGAAAGCCUGAUGCAGCAGCGCCGCGUGAGGGAUGAAGGCCUUCGGGUUGUAAACCUCUUUUAGCAGGGAAGAAGCGAAAGUGACGGUACCUGCAGAAAAAGCACCGGCUAACUACGUGCCAGCAGCCGCCGUAA